ACGGCAGCCGUGGGACUGGCACAGGCUCCUCGGCAGCAUUAUGGGCAGCUGGUAGAGCGGCCACUUCUGAGAGCCGGAUGGGCCUUCCGAGGUCGGGCCGUGCCCCGCUGGGCAGCGCAGAGGGGGUUUGAAGCGCCCUCGAGAAGUGUCUAAAGGAGACAGUUGAUAGCCAAACAACAGUUUUGGAUUCACUGACUGAUUAUGAAAGAAGCAGUAGACUGGUAUCAAGAAUCAGUCAGCAAGGAGGCCCUCACCAGACGCCAGUGCCAUGUUCUUGGACUUCUCAGCCUCCAUAUUCAUGAACUAAGUUUUUGGAAUCCUUAGGCUUCCACGUGUGGAAAGCCUGAGCUAACCUACUGGAGGAUGAGCCAUCACCUGGAGCAGAUUCAGGCCAUCCUAGUUGAAGCCUCCCUAGGCCAAGCAACCGUCCAACUACCAGACAUUGACCAUUCAGCCUUGAACAUUCAGCACAAAGACAAAACAGACCAGACCAGAAGAGUCCCACAGAAUAGGGGAAACUAUUCAGAGAAAACUUAAGCCACUAAGUUUUAUGGUGUUUUGUUCUGUAGCAGAAGCAUAGGCAUACUGACAAUACAAACCGAAAUCCUUCUAACGUAGUGGACCUUUUCAGGCCAGCAUUUUUUCCUUGAAAACCUGGAGCAUGUAUCCAUCUUAUAGCAGAGAUCACUUUCACAAUGUUUGGGCUCUUGAUUUGAAUUGAUGAUGUAAUGAGCCCUCUAUCCAGAUUGUAACUAAUUACUCUGCGAAUUGACUGGAUUCCACACCCUUCUAAUAUUUUACUUUUCCUCUUUUAUCAACUCUCAUUCUUGCUGCCAUGAUCAAUGGACCAACUAUGCUUAUAACCACAAAUUUUGAUAUGCUUAAACAAAUGAACAAAUAUAUUUAAUAAUUUCUUUUUUUUUUUUGAAAUAGUAUCUUGCUCUGUCACCCAGGCUGCAGUGCAGCAGCGUGAUCUCAGCUCACUAUAACCUCCACCUCCCGGGUUCAAGUGAUUCUCCUGCCUCAGCCUCCCAAGUAGCUGGGACUACAGGCGCCCACCACCAUACCUGGCUAAUUUUUUGUAUUUUUAGUAGAGACAGGGUUUAUCCAUGUUGGCCAGGCUGGUCUCAAACUCCUGACCUCAAGUGAUCCUCCUGCCUCGGCCUCCCAAAGUGCUGGGAUUACAGGUGUGAGCCACCAUGCCCAGCCAAUAAUUUCCUGAUAUAAUAAAAAUGCCAAUACUAUACAAUUAAAUAGUAAAGUGAUAAAAAAUAGGAUAACAUGAUAACCACUAAUUAAUAUAUACUACAUAAUCAUCCUUUUCGUGAGUUGAAAUGUUCUUUUAGCACACUUUAUGGUUUAUCCUUUCUGGAAUACUAUUAUAUGAUCAUGAUUUUUCUCA
ensembl:lncRNA LINC00941 long intergenic non-protein coding RNA 941